UUCCAGCUGCCUUUCUCCUGCCCCCUCCUCUAGUUUUCUGCCAAUCCAUUCGGUUUCAUGUGACUUUAAAUAAAUUACAUCAAAUAUUGUUAAAAUGUUAAAUUAGUCUGACGGAAGAUAUCUGAUUUAUUUCAGAUGCCACGAGCUAUGAAAUGAAGCUCUUUGGGCCAUUAGAGUUUAUCUUUGUGAAAGUACAGGGCAAGAUUGAAUUGAAAUCUAUUUGUGUUUGAGUAAUAUUGACAAUCAGAGCCCCAAUAUCCAUCUGAGAUGGCUGUUGAGUGGGAAAGGGGGGAGGGAGAAUUGGCUUGCGCAGAAGCAAAUACCUCAGGUGGAAAGUCAACUUUUAAAUUUUAUGCCUUCUUUAUGCAUGAAGUAUUGAGAGAUGAAAAAGGAAGACACAAGGAAGCCAGUGGGGAAUGGUGAGUAGAAGAUGCUAGACACUGAAGCUAAUUGCUACAGCUCUUCAGAGGUCAAAGUUCAUGUAAUCACUGCAUAAAUGCAUACUAAAUAGGGAUUUAUUAAGCUUUCCUGAUGGCUGAGCACGUCUGUGAAAAAUGGUCACUGCUGUUUGUGUUUCCUCCUUAAGAAUAAUCAUUCUUAAAGUAGAAGCUCUAGGCAUUUCAGGCUUUCAUUUAUUUUGAGAGACAGGCAACUCCUGUGCUUAAAAAUAUUGAAAUUAGUGCAUGAACAACAUCUUUCUUUAUAUUGGAUGGGGCUGUAAAAGAAACGCUAGGGCUUUUUCAGUACAUACAAGAACACACUUUAGUUAGCAUGCCACUAUUGGGAUAAGCUAGUCACUGGUCAACUUUGGUGACCCUCUGCCUUAGAUAAGUCCCCUUUGUGCCUGCAUUUGUGAGAACACACAAAAAUUCUGCCUUAGGACUCCUUGUGCCUAAAUGACCAGAAUUGAAUGGGACCCACAUCCCUAAUCUCUCACUCUAUGGAUCAGAAAAAGGCACCCAGAGGUGGAUUGGUUUGACUGAGAGCACAGUCAGUAUCCAUACUCUUACUUCCUAAAUAAAAAAACAGGGCAGCUUAGAACCUGAGUCCAGUGCACUUUUAAAUUCUAAAGUCCUGAUUCAAUUUUGUCCCUCCCUGAUUUAUUCCAUGUAAUUUGUUUCAGACUAGAUAUGAUUUAUUUUUCCAUUUUUGCUUUACUGGCCACCCACUCAGUCAGGUCCUUGACUUUGAGGCCAUUAGGAAUACCGAAUCUUUGAAACAACCUCUGAGUUGAAUGCUUCUGCCAUCUUGUUUGAAUAAUAAAAUGUGCUACUUACCUUUAAAUACAUAUGUUCUUAAAAUAUAAAAAUAAAAAUCUGGAGGGCAAGUAAAAUUCAACACACACACACAUAUUUCUGUUUUGUUUUUAAACUUGGAUGGGAAAGAAUAAAUGAAAGAGGAGUUGCCUUCACACAAAUUCGACCUCCAUUAAAUUGUCAAGAAGUAUCAUCUAGAAGGGGCUUCAAGAUGCAAGGGACAUUCCAGGAGGGGUUCUAACUCUGAACCUUUUAAAAAUGUGUUUGCUUUUUCUGGCUAGUUUGUGGCGCAGCAUACCUUCUAAAUUGUUCUGACUCACAUAUCUUAAUUUUUUCCAAGACUCACUCAUGUACCUAACACACACACACACACACACACACACACACACACACACACACACACACCCAAGCCCAAACUAUUAACAUAAAGUCUCCUUGCAAUACAACUUUCCACAUUCUCCUCCAUCUCAUCCCCAUGGGGUCCUACUGAUCUCAGCAGAACCUGAUGCCCAAAGGGACAUCAAUGGUUGUCAGUGUUUGAAGAGGUGAGCUGGAAUCCUCAGCGCUUUAGUGCCUUAUUUUUAAUAGCACCAGCCAUCAAAUACAGCUAGCUGACCUUUGAUAGCAGAACUACAAACAAAAUAUCAAUUAAACAAGUAUGUUCAGUAGGCGCUAGCCUCUAAACACCUUUUUUUUUUCCUUAGGCAACUCUAAACCCUCAUCAUAUCCUGCAAAACAUCCUUAAAUGACUGCAUUUUGAGUUUACUGGAAAAAAUGAAAAGACCAAUGUCUCUUUUUGCAACAUGUUCAAACACAACUAAAACACGUGUCUCUAUUUUUAAUCAGCCCAUUACAUUUUACUCGUAUUAAAAACGUGUUGGUAAAACGUCUAAUCACAAGGUUAAUCUAUAGAAAUCAGAUUUUUUUGUAUUUUCAUUUAGGCUUGUGUGGUUAAUCGGUUGGGAAAAAAUACACAAAUGCUUGCAACAGAAAAUAAAACAAAAAUUAUUGAGCGACUUUUCUUUUCAAACUGGGACACGUUUUAGCCGCGUUGGACAUUUUUACGAUUUACGACCCACUUCGUUCUAAGUCGCCACAGAACCUUAACAAGAAUGCAGAAAGCCACGAUUUAAAAUGGUACCCCCAACUCCCAACCCCCGAAAUAUCAGCAACACGGUUCUGGCAAAGUAUGCACGGGAAUUUUCCCAUCCUGAGGAACAGAUGGGGUCUUUCCUUUAGGAUGCGCAGGGGUCAGCUGUCCAAGGCUUGGGAAGAGGUCGGCUCGGGCGAUCGAGUCGCUCGGGCAGCGGCGGCCGCGGGAACUCCGGCUCUGCUGGGGCCGCGGGGAGCGGGCGGGGGGCACCAGCGCCUGCCCCCGGCCGGCUAGGCCGCGGCAACUGCGAGAGGAGAUGCCGCAGGACCUUCGCGACCCUGCGGGGUUGUAGAGGAGCCCCGACGCCGAGGUCAGGACGGCUUUCCUUCCUUGGCUUCCCAGCCUUCACCCUCUGAGUUCUUGACCCAACGCCGCCGUUCCGUUUCUCCUGCUUCCUGGGCCCCAGGCAGAGCACGAAGGGAGGAGCAUCCGGGCUCUUCCCUGGCCUGCAGGCUUCGCGCCUCUGGAUGGACCUGCGCCGGUCCGGGGCGGGAAAGGAGCAGCAUCCGGGCUCUUCCCUGGUUCGCGCUCAGAGCCCAGCACCUUGGGCCUGAGCGUUUCCCGGCCCGCGUCGGUGGGUGGUUUCGGAGGGAAGGGAAAGUGAGUCCGGACAGGUCCCCGAGGCUGCGAAGAGCUCCGCUUUGUCUCGGGGGACAAUGAGGCCUCACGUUUCUUUCUGCCAGCGUCGCCCAGCUUCAAGCGCUCCUGAGGCGCGGUCUGAGCUGCCCCGGGCCGCCACCUGACUCUCCCGAAGAGGGCUUCGGGACCCAACACUUCCUCAGAGAAGGAAACCCAGACAUGGAGUCUCACUAUGUGGCCCGGUUGGCCUUGAUCUCCUGGACUCAAGUAAUCAUUCCACUUCAGCCUCCUAAGUAGCUGGGACUGCAGACACAUGCCACCACACCUGGCUUUGACUUUUGCAGGGCAGUGGUCAGGUGCUCCUGAGCAUGGUCCAGCUCCUCUUCAACCUGCUGGAUCCUACGAUUCAAGGAGGCCACCUCAGCCUCAGCCUGUUUCCGGCCCACUUUUCUUCCUCAACUUCUCACUGGAGGCCCUCAGCUCUCUCCUCUGCAUCAUCUGCCUGCUGCUGCAGAACCUGGAUAUUGCACUUCACUUCCUCCAUGGUGGCGAUCCCAGCCAUGGUGCCCACCCAGCUACUGCUCCAGUUCUGGUUCCUGCCUCUUCUGCUCAGCAUUGCAGCUGCUUCUCCUUUCUUUUAUUUUUCUGUAUUAAGUUUUGUUCCCUUUUGUUUUUAAAGCAACAGAUGAAAGGAGAUAAAAAUGUCAAGGAAAUACUGACUUGAACUUUAUAAAUAUUGGUUCUGAUUGGGGAUGAUAAAACAGGUAAAAGAAAGGAGCUGAAGUAUGACUGAAGGAAUCAGAUUUCUCUAACCUUGAUAUUCAAAUUGUAUUCUAUAGAUAUAAAUAGCAAGAUUCUUUAGCAUUUGGAGUUAAUUAAAUUGUGAGGAAGUUAUCAGGGCACAUUUUGUGUUCUUCAUUACUCUGAGAAACUUUUCUGAGGUUCAUUGAGAAAAAUAUUUUUAAACUCUGUGAAAUCCAAGUAACUCUGGAGGAAAAGCAAAUUGAGCAAUUUGUUCUUUCCUCUUUGAGGUUUGAUAAGGUGUAAAAAUGUAUUUAACAAAGCAACUUCUUUUUCCUUAAAAAUUUUGAUCAAUAACCCUGAAAAAGUUUUUAAAAUUCAAUUCAGUAUGUUAAUUGUAUGCUUUCCAUAAAUACAUUUUUUGAAUAUUUAAGGUAACAGUUUCAGAAACAUAACUGAAUAGCUUGCUUGUUCUUGAACAAAGAGUUUGAAUCUACGAUGAACUAAAUUAAGUUAUGUCUUCCCAAGUAGUCCACUUAGACACUGACUUGUUACCCUCUUUCUCAAGUCCAGUUUUUCUGAGACUGGACCAGUUACAUUAGGAUAACUUUGGGUCUUUAGGUGUGAUUAUUGUAUUGUGAUAGUGCUAAAAAUAUUCAUUCUUUUUAGAGAUACAAACUGAACUGUUAGUGGAUAAAAUGUCAGGAUAUUUGGGAUUAUUUUAAAAAUAAAUUAGGAUGAAGGGUAAAUGAGUGGCAGUGUAGAUGAAACAAGACUGGCCAUAUGUUUAUUUAUGGAAGGUGAGUGAGGAGUAUGUGGGUAAUGUUAUAGUAUUCUCUCUAAUUUAGUUUAGGUUUAAAAUUUCUAUUGCAAAUAGUUAAAAGAAUCACUUGUGGUCUUGUUAAAAAUUCAGAAUCCUGGACUCCACCAUAGAUCUUUCAAGUCAGAGUCUCAAGGAUGAAAGAUAGAAAAUGGCUUUUAAAGUAGUCCACUUGUGCUCACUGAAGUUUGAGGAUCACUGGUAAAAAGUUUCCUUGUGUACCUCACUCAUUGUGUAUCCAUGUCAUCCAUGUGUGUAUUUAGUGGUUUUCAUCAUUCACCCUAUUUUCCCAUUUGCGGAAUGCAAUGGCAAGUUAAAGCAAUUAUACUGAAUUUGGAUAAUUCAAACUUUAAAAUUUUGUUUCAAAGCAUUCAUAAAGUGAAGCCAAAUAAAAUUUAAAAAACCUUUAUUUUUAACUGAAAUAAUCAGAUAAAUACGUUGGCUUUUUUUCCACUUUCAGCUGGGAAUGGAUUACUUUUGUGAAUGUCUUAAAUUUCUUCUCUUACCAGGGCAUCAGCAUCCUAUUCCAGACAUCUACUUGCUUUCACCAGUAGUUCCUUGUUCUUUCUCAGAUGUACCAUAUUACCAGGCACCUCUGAGACUUUGCCUAUGGGAUUCCCUCUAAUUGAGGCAUUCAUCAAUCCCCUCUUUACCUGGUUAAUUUCUAUACCUUCUCCCCACCGCUAACACCUCUCACUUAUUCAGGGAGGCCAUUAUUGUAUUUGCAAGGUUGGAUUGCAUUCUAUUCUUUUGUGGUUCCAUAAUAUGCUGUAAUACAAUAGUGCUAUAAUGCUGAACAUGCUAUAUAGCACUUUACACUUUGUCAUAAGACUCUAUUUUUCUGCCCUCCUCUCUCUCUUCAGCUUGACUAUAAAGUCAGUUAGUUAAAGAUUGUGCGUUUUAUGAUCGUAUCUCCACUGCUGUGUACUGUGCCUGGCACAUAGGAAAUACUUACUGAAUACAUGACGAACAGCUGAAUGAGUUCACAAAGUAGCUAUCUAACAUGCCCAAGCAUCUUAGGAAGUGUUGCAGUCAUUCUUUACGGC